ACCCCUUCCUGCCCAACCGGCACGGCGGGCGCGCGGCGUGGAGGAGCAGCGGCGCGGCGACGGUGGCGCUCGCGCCCGGUGGUUUAAACUCCAAAAAAGCGCCGAAGCAACGCCGCUGUACGGCCGUAGCGUCAACAGAACGGUCCGGAAGGUGCGUCGGGGCACCAACCCGAGCUCAGAGAGUGUGCUAGAUGAGCAAACCCCGGGGGUUAAGGCGCUACGGCCCUCCACCGUCGGCAGCACGAGCCGGUCAAGCGCUGUGCUGCUGAGCCGCUUCAGAAGCGGUGGGUGCGGGCAGCUGCGCUGCGGGGAGCGGCGGCACGGCCUGCAUGGACACAGCGACUCACACACACGUCGCUGUUAGAUACCUCCGCAGUGUGACAUAAGGCAUAUCUGUGCAUAACCAGUGCUUCGCUUUCCCCCGUUUAAAUAUUUCAGCUAUUAAAGUCGACACAGAACUACCCUGCAACUCUAAUGACCGUAUACAUACGCGCUCUAUAGCUCUCAUGGCUUCCACCAGCAGAGUACAUGCUUUAAAUUACAGUGUGCAAACGAUGAUUUAAUUGGGACUUGGAAGGCUAACAGAAACAGUCAUUGUCUGAAGUGAAUUUAAGCGGCGGGGUUAAACCUGGAUAACCGCUGCGAUUUUCCGUCCUGUUUUCAGGUGGAAGGUGGAAGGCCUUUUUGCAGCUCAGGUAAUUCAGAGUGGUAAACAGCACAGAGAAACCCAUGUCUGUUGUUUUGAGAAAGGCUUUUCGCAACCUGGGUGUGUGAUCCCACAGUGGAAAAGCAUGCUCUGCCCAUGGAACUGCUCAUUACGCUCACCUGAUUUGUACAUCCUGCUUUAAAAGCAUGCACAGACCAGCAGUGAACUCAUUCUUACCUUGAAAUAAGGCAGGCCUGCUGCAGCCAGAUCACACCUCCAUUAUGAACUAAGUGGGGUACAGCCCACUGCUAAAGUGUCAUUAGUUGCUUUCGGUCCUCCCCACCUUCAGGCUGUGUGGAUCGUACUCCUGGUAAGCUCUAUUGGGAUCCUCAGAGCUCUCCUGAGUUUCCAGCCCAGUUUGCUUAGCUGCUCACAGAAGCCUGGACCAUGACUACCUUUCAUGCUUCAAAGAACACCAACGUGGUUCAAAGCAUACAGGCAUGUGGUUACUUUUCCAAGUCAAGAAGACCUCUGUGCAGCUUGCUGCGUUCCUCAGAGACAUGCUAGUUAUCCAAUGCUGCAUUUUGCUGACAAGUUGCAACCCAACUCCAGAACUAACAGGCUGCCAUAUAAGCUAGACCUGAGCAGAGCUGCAGUAUGUGGCCACCAAAUCAUCUUUCAGCAGGGGAGGAAAAAAGCAAGUACUUCUGGUGUGGCUGCAUGUUUGUGUCUUCUUUCCUUGUGCUGAAGCUGUUGCACCCUUAGCCCAGGAACAGCUGCAGUGAAGGCCUCUCCGGGAAGGCUGGAUGUUCCUCAAGAAGGAAGUCUUAAGGCACAUGAGAGCAGGCUGUCCCUGAGUGCUUUAAGAUGAGUGAGCAGGGAAGAAGACCAAGGUGGAUGAACAGGGAACUUUAGCUGAGACUCCAGGAGAAAAAGAGAGCCUACCGCCUCUGAAAGAAAGGAUGGGCAACUCUGAGAGACUACAAGGAAGUUGCGAGGAUAUUAUCAGUAAGAGAAGGGCUAAGAAGAAUCUCCAUCCUUUACUGUAGGUGGUGGGGAACAUGACCACUGAGGAUAAGGAAAAGGCUGAGGUUCUCAGUGUCUUCUUUACAUCUGUUUUUAAUAUCAGACCAGUUGUCCUCAGUAUACUCUAUUGCAUGACCUGGAAAUCUGGGGUGGGGAGCAGAAUUCCCCAUGACUCACGUAGAGACAGUUAGAGACCUCCUACUCCAUCUAUACUGUCACAAGUCCAUGGGGACAGAUGGGAUUCACCUGAGGGUGCUGAGGAAGCUGGCAGAGGUGACUGCCAAGUUGCUUUCCACCAUCUAUCAAUAUUCCAAAUCAACUGGAGAGGUCCCAAAUGAUUGAAGGCUUGCCAGUGUGACUCCCAUCUAAAGUAGGGUCUUAAUGAGGACCUGGGGAACUACAGGCCUGUCAGCCUUACCUCAGUGCCAUGGUAAGUUAUGGAACAGAUCAUCUGGAGUGAGAUCACAAGGCAUCUGCAGGACAACAAGGGGAUCAAGCCCAGUAAGCAUGAUUUCAUGAAAGGCAGGUCCUGCUUGACCAACCGUAUCUCCUUCUAUGACCGAGUGACUCGCGUGGUGGUUUGGGGAAAGGCUGUUGACACUGCCUACCUAGACUUCAGCAAAGCCUUUGACACUGUCUCCCACAGUAUUCUCCUGGGGAAGCUGGCAGCCCUGGGCAGGUACACUCUUUGCUAGGUAAGGAAUUGGCUGGAUGGCCAGGCCCAAAGAGUGGUGGUGGAGUUAAAUACAGCUGGUGACCAGUCACAAAUGGUGUUCCCAAGGGGUCAGUAUUGAGGCCCAUCCUGUUUGAUGUCUUUAUUGCUGGUCUGGAUGAUGGGAUUGAGCGUGCCCUCAGUAAGUGUGCAGAUGACACCAGGUUGUAAGGAAGUGUCUCUCAGCUGGGCUGAGGCCAAUGGAUUGAAGUUCAGCAAGACCAAAUGCUGAGACCUGCACUUUGGUCACAACAACCCCAUGCAGGCUUGGGGCAGAGUGGCUGGAAGACCAUGCAAAGGAAAAGUACCUGGAAGUGUUCAUCAGUGCUCACCUGAACAUGAGCCAGCGGUGUGCCCAGGUGGCCAAGAAUGUCAAUAGUGUCCUGGCUUGUAUCAGAAACAGUUGCCAGGAGGAUCAGGGAUUAGAUCAUCCCACUGUACUCAGAUCUGGUGAGGGCAUACCUCAAGUACUGUGUUCAGAUUUGUACCUCUCACUACAAGAAAGACAUCAAGGGCGUAGCAAGGUCAGGGUCAGCCUCUUCUCCUAAGUAACUAACAAUAGGAUGAGAGGCAGUGGCCUCAAGUUGUGCCUGGGAUGGUUUAGGUUGGAUGUAGGGAAAAACUUCACCAAAAGAGUGGUCAUGCACUGACACAGGCUGCCCAGGGAGGUGGUUGAGUCACUGGCUCUGGAGGUGUUCAAGAAACAUGUUGAUGUAGUACUAAGAAACAUGGUUUACCGGGCAACAUUGGUGUUAGGUGGAUGGAGAGACUGGAUGAUCUUAGAGGUCUUUCCCAACCUUAAUGAUUCUAUGACCAUCAUGGCUUUGGGACUCUGCCUUCUCCCAUCCCAGGUUUCCAGGCAAGCACCAGUACUGCCUACCACAAACCCAGGGUUAUAGCACUGCUGGGGAAGGUGAAGCUGUGCAUGGGAGAGCUGACCAGUUUUUUUUUUGGGGGGGGGGUUGUUUGUUUGUUUGUUUGUUUGUGUUUUUUUUAGUGUCUGCAAAGCCAUUUAACUGGGAUAGACUCUGCCACAUGUUUAUGGUAGGAUAAUAGAGUGAAGUAUUUGUGUUCAGUCACAUCCAGACUUGUCUGUUCUUUGUCUCAGAGAUUUUCCAGGUAUUGAGCAGCACUUUACAAAGACUUACUGACUUGAACAGGCAUUUAAUUUUCGUUUUCCAGUUUCAGCUUGUACACUCGGGAGGUUUUCCUCACGUGCUUCAGGAUUUAAUUGCAAUUUCUCCAGAAGCAUUUUUCCACCAGGUGAUGGAUGAAGCAGGAGCUGCAGGUUGGGCAAGAGGAUGGUGAAAUCUCUACAGCAUGAUGGGGAGGGAGUGUGUACGAAUCUUCACAUCCUUCACGUUGACUGAAGAGGUCAAAUACACCUGGUUUCUCCUACAGGGACAUUAGCUUAUUCUCCUGCAUUUACCUCUUUGCACGUUGUUGAGAACAGUGUAUGAAUGGGGUGGAUGAUCCCGGCUCCGUGUGAGGAGAGCCAUCUUCAGCAGUUUUGCCUCCUGCCAAACAAGGAUGUGUUUUUAAUCUGUCCUUUUGGUGCCCGGAGGAAGAGCACAGGUUCCCUCUGCUCCCUGCAUCUGCAUGGCAGAGGGCAUGGAUUGGCCCUGAGUAAGGCAUCCUGAGAGACAACCAUCUGGCUGUCAUUAGUUUGAUUUGAUGGAAUUGGACAAAUGUAACAAUUAGCAUGGUAAAAACUCCUAAUUAAAUAAUUUUUAAAAAAGAUAAUGAUGAUUGAGGAUGGAUGGGUUUUUAAUUUUGUGCAUGAAUGAAAGAACACAUUAAUUAAAACCUUGAGUUUA